rnacentral:rRNA from 1 species
UCCGGAGCUAACGCGUUAAGUCGCACCGCCUGGGGAGUACGGCCGCAAGGUUAAAACUCAAAUGAAUUGACGGGGGCCCGCACAAGCGGUGGAGCAUGUGGUUUAAUUCGAUGCAACGCGAAGAACCUUACCUACUCUUGACAUCCAGAGAACUUACCAGAGAUGCUUUGGUGCCUUCGGGAACUCUGAGACAGGUGCUGCAUGGCUGUCGUCAGCUCGUGUUGUGAAAUGUUGGGUUAAGUCCCGCAACGAGCGCAACCCUUAUCCUUUGUUGCCAGCGGUUAGGCCGGGAACUCAAAGGAGACUGCCAGUGAUAAACUGGAGGAAGGUGGGGAUGACGUCAAGUCAUCAUGGCCCUUACGAGUAGGGCUACACACGUGCUACAAUGGCGCAUACAAAGAGAAGCGACCUCGCGAGAGCAAGCGGACCUCAUAAAGUGCGUCGUAGUCCGGAUUGGAGUCUGCAACUCGACUCCAUGAAGUCGGAAUCGCUAGUAAUCGU